AGGCACACAAGCUGCUGGACCUGCAGAGGAGCCUAUCUGCAAACCCAGACAUCUGGACGUGGAGAGGAGCGAAUUGGUGGAGGAACACACAGGUGGCUGGAUGUUAAGAGAAGCACAUCAGCAGGCCCUGGGAUGCGGGCAGGCCACGGACCAGCAGAAGGAGAGGCUGAGUUUGGCUGGGACAGUCAGAGGAGAGCCCGGGCCAGGGAGCAGCCUGACUCCAAGGAAAAAACCAUCUCCCUUCUGGCUCCCCCGUAUGCUGAGAGCUACUUCCAGUCAAUAAAACUUUGAACUCAUUCUCCAAGACCACGUGUGAUCCGAUUCUUCCAGUACACCAAGAACCUGAAGCAGUGUUAAGGUGUGCUUCCCCUGGAGUUGAACUUUCCAAAUCAAUGUGGCAGCUGAUGGAAGAAAGGCAGUGUCUGAGCUUUAGAAGCCUGAGGAUGUGAAGAAAGCAGAAAACUGUAUACCUGUCCCUGGCACAAUAUCUCAGCCCUCCACAAACUCAGAUGUGAAUCCAGAUCUACAAGUAAAAAUGAAAUGAAGCAGAGCCACCCCAAACUGCAGACAAUAUUUGGUUCUUGUUUGCUUUGUUUUGUGUUUUGUGUUUAGAGACAGGAUCUCAGUCUGUCACCCAGGAUGGAGUAUGGUGAUGCAAACAUGGCUCACUGUAACUUUGAACUCCUGGGCUCAAGUGAUCCUCCUGCCUCAGUCCACGUAGCUGAGGCUACAGGUGAGCACCACCAUGCCUGGCUAAUUUUUUUUUUUUUAAUUUUGCACAGAUAGGGUGCUGCUAUGUUUCCCAGACUAGUCUCAAACUACUGGCUUCAAGUGAUCCUCCUACCUUGUCCUCUCGAAGUUUUGGGAUUAUAGGCGUGAGCCACCAUGCCUGGUCUGCAGCCAAUAUUUAAUAUGAAUGAAAGCUUACUUACCUGUUGUAAGCCAUUGAGAUUUGGGUGUUACUUGUUACUUCAGUCUAAUCCAACUGAUAACAAAAUCAGUACUAAUAGGAAUUUUCCACAUUUGUUUAUUUUGGUUACUCAGUUGUUUUAGGAAUUUAGGAAGAUUUUCUAUGCUACCAUUUUCCCCUAUGAUUACAUUUAAUUUAAUUUAAUUCAAUACUUGAAUUGAAUUGAAUUGAAAGACAUUAUUAAAUUUAGCACAUGCCUGUCAAUCCAUAUACCCCAUGUGCUAUGAGAUAAAUAGAUUACUUUUGAUUUCUGCUUAUAUCUAAUUUCAGUUGGUAUUUUCACUAUUACAUUUUUGAGCACUGUUAGAGAUAAAAUAUUUGAAUCUCAUAUGCCUAUUCUCAGAUGUGACUGAUAAUUACCUCUAGCUAUGUGCCAGUCACAAAGCUUACCAAUCACCAAUCAGCACACAUAACAGAGUCUUUGAGUUUGGUAUCCAUAUGGCUCCUUUAUAGAUUAUAAACCAACUGGUUUAGUAACUUUCACAAAUUUAAAUUACCAGUAAGCUGGACAAUUAAGAUUCUAACCCAAUUUUCUUCUGACUCCAAAUCAAGUGCUUGUUCUGCUACAAUGAUGAGUUUCCUCUAUAUUCCUGUUUCAAAAAUAAGGCUUGCAUGCAUAAUUAACUAAUAAUAUACAUAAUUUAUGCUUUAUAUUAAAUUGUAAAUCUAAAAUAGAUCAUAUUAUAUAAGUGUUGUAUAUCAUCAAACAGAGAAUUGAUCAGCAUUGACCAGAACUGUCAAGCCAACCUGAAGUGAGUUUAAUAAUUCUGAAGGGGGAUGGUGAGGAAAUCAGUCAGUUGGUAGCAGAAAACAUAUUCAUCUGUCUUUGGGGAUCUGGGACUCUGUUUUUACUAUAGAUAAAGUGCACCAGAUAUCAAAUCUUGACAAGUAAGGAGAGACUGAAUAAUGCCAGAUUUUUUGAAUUGGUGACUACCAUCAUUGAGAAGGCUAUGUUACUACUCUGUAAUGGAGAAAGUCAUAUAUGCUGUUUUUCAUAUACAUGUGCGCACACAUUACAGACACACAAUCACAAUACGUAUAUAUGUAUAUACACACACAUAUACACACACACACACAUACACAGACAUAUAAGGUCUUUCUGGAAGGAUUAUUUCCAUUCUUAGUGAAUGCGCAACUGCCUCUGACACCCACAUUUCAGAUAAAGAGGAUCAAGUCACCAGUUGGCAAAAUCUGCACUCCUCAAUUUGUACCCUAAUUAUAUGUAGAUUAAAGAAGCUAAUGCUAUUGGGGGAACCCACCCCCGAUAAUUCAAUGUUUGUUCUUUUCUGUUUCCCUAAGUGUCAGCCGGUCUGAGAAAUAAAGGGAAAGAGUACAAAAGAGAGACAUUUUAAAGCUGGGUGUCCGGGGGAGACAUCACAUGUUGGCAGUUUCCGUGAUGCCCCUCAAGCCGCAAAAACCAGCAAGUUUUUAUUAUGGAUUUCAAAAAGGGAGGGGUGUAUGAAUAGGGUGUGGGUCACAGAGAUCACAUGCUACAAGGGCAAUAAAAUAUCACAAGGCAAAUGGGGGCAGAGCACCGGGGCAAAAUUAAAAUUGCUAAUGAAGUUUCGGACACAUAUUGUCAUUGAUAACAUCUUAUCAGGAGCAGGGUUUGAGAGCAGACAACCGGUCUGACUAAAAUUUACUAGGCAGGAAUUUCCUCCUCCUAAUAGGCCUGGGAGCGCUAUGGGAGACCAGGGCUUAUUUCAUUCCUUAUCUGCAACUGUAUAAGACAGACAUUCCCAAAGGGGCCAUUUCAGAGACCUCCCCCUAGGAACGCAUUCUCUUUCUCAGGGCUGUUCCUUGCUGAGAAAAAGAAUUCAGCGAUAUUUCUCCUAUUUGCUUUUGUAAGAAGAGAAAUAUGGCUCUGUCUUGCCCAGCCCACAGGCAGCCAGACUUUAAGGUUAUCUCCCUUGUUCCCUGAAAAUCGCUGUUAUCCUGUUUUUAAGGUGCCCAGAUUUCAUAUUGUUCAAACACAUAUGCUUUACGAACAAUUUGUGCAGUUAACACAAUCAUCACAGGGUCCGGAGGUGACAUACAUCCUCAGCUUACGAAGAUGAUGGGAUUAAGAGAUUAAAGACAGGCAUAGGAAAUUAUAAGAGUAUUGAUUAGGGAAGUGAUAAAUGUCCAUGAAAUCUUCACAAUUUAUGUUCUUCUGUCAUGGCUUCAGCAGAUCCCUCCGUUUGGGGUCCCUGACUUCCCACAACAAAAUGCCUUUGGGCAUUUAUAUGUUACCACUCUGACUGAAUGUCUUCAUCAUUCUACAUCACUGGCAAACUCCUUCUCAUCUAUUAAAGCUUGUUUUGGGCUACAUUAGGCAAACUCUUUUGUGUAACAACUGUAUUUUCACAAAGCCAUUGGCUUUUUUAAGCAGUUGUUACAUUCUGGUUUCAGAACUCCUUAAGAACUCUUAGUAGGCACUGAAUGAAUAUUUGCUGAAUGAAUGAAAGUUAGAGGAAUAGAAAGAAAGAAGAAUAUUUUAGCUGCUUUGACUUCAAUAGUAAUUCAAUUUGGUAAAGUCACAAACUGAAUUGACUUACAUCUUAUAAGAAUUAAUGAGAUAUCAUUACAAACCAAGUAAAUUCACCAAAAAAAUUUUUAAAAGACAGUAUUAAAUGCUGGUGAAUAAGCAGAGUAGCUGGAAUUCUCACACACUGCUGGUGUGAAGGCCAAAGGGUACAGCCACCUUGGCAUGCAGUUUUACAGUUUCUUCCAAAGUUAAAUGUAGAAUCAUCUCAAGACUGAGUGAACCUAUCCCUAGGAAGUUAUCAAAUAGAAAUUAAAAUACAUUUCCCAAAAGACCUGUACAUAGGUGUUUAUAGCAAUCUUAUUGAAAAUAGCCAAAAACAACCUAAACGACAAUUAGUUGGAAAUAAUUUUGACAUCCAUCUACUGGUGAAUGGAAACCAUAUAAUCUAAUAUUCUCAGGAAUAAAAAAUGGAUGAACUAUUAAUACAUGCAUCAAUAGAGAUGAAUUUCAAAACCUUAUGUUAAGUGAAAGAAAUUAGAAAACACCACAUAUUACAUGAUUUCAUUUAUAUAAUAUUUUAGAAAUGGCAAAAAAAAUCAUUUUGCCAGGGGCCUAUCCUCUGGCGGAGGGAAGGGACUGAUUAAAAAGGGACAGGAAGGAAUUGUUUUGGUAUAUGGGGCUGUUUUCUAUUUUGAUUAUGAUACUGGUAAAUGACUAUAAAUUUGCCCAAAUGAACUGUUUACCUUAACACAGUGAAUAUUACUAUAUGGAAUUUAUUUAUCAAAAAAUCUGAAAAAAGUUUCAAUACGUGAUGUUCUUCUUGCCUCCCUUAAUAAAGUACAAUUUUGUAUGCAUUUAUUAUUUA
rnacentral:lncRNA from 1 species